rnacentral:rRNA from 1 species
UACGGGGGGGGCGAGCGUUGUUCGGAAUUACUGGGCGUAAAGGGCUCGUAGGCGGCCAACUAAGUCAGACGUGAAAUCCCUCGGCUUAACCGGGGAACUGCGUCUGAUACUGGAUGGCUUGAGGUUGGGAGAGGGAUGCGGAAUUCCAGGUGUAGCGGUGAAAUGCGUAGAUAUCUGGAGGAACACCGGUGGCGAAGGCGGCAUCCUGGACCAAUUCUGACGCUGAGGAGCGAAAGCCAGGGGAGCAAACGGG